AUGGAGAUAACCUCCUCCACCGUGCUGCUGCUUGUUGCCGGCGUGCUAGUUCAUGUCCUGCCUACGAUGUGCACGGCGGUCCGUGGCUUCAGCCUCCCGCUGGUCGCCAACCACGGCGGGGGCAGGUACCGUGUGGACGCCGACGGCUUCAUGGUCGUGAACACCACGAGCUUCCACCACCGUCCUUCCCUGACGGCCCCCCUGAGGUACACGUAUGGCGUGGCCGUGAAUAUUGGCACGGGCCGCGGCAAGAGUACCCAUUUCCUCGUGCUGGACACGGCCAACAGCCUGCCGUGGAUGCGGUGCGCCCACUGCUUGCCGGUGCAACGACAACGUGGCCCGGUGUUCGACCCUAGCCACUCAAGCAGCUACCACCCCCUCCAUCCGACGAGCCCCCUGUGCCGGCCGCCCAACCGCGUCCACCCCGCUGGCGACAAGUGCUCUUUCCACCUCCCACAGGAGGCACACGGCUUCGUCGGCGUCGACACCAUCAUCCUGGGUAAUCCGACUUUGCCUAUCCAUGGCAUCGCCUUCGGGUGCGCGCAGGCCACCGAGGGGUUCGACACCAAAGGCACUUUCGCAGGUACACUGGGCAUGGGCAGGCUGCCUACCUCCCUCAUCAUGCAGAUCAAGGACCGUGUCGCCUGGCGCUUCUCCUACUGUUUGAUCGGCCCAGGUCACAGCCAGGACCGACACGGCUUCAUCCGCUUCGGCGCCGACAUCCCGGAGCCCUCGCCUCUAGUCCACCAUCGCAUCAAGAUCCUUCCCACGCCGCCACACCUCCCGCACGGCGUCGCCGACUCGGCCUACUACGUGAAGCUUCUGGGUGUGAGCCUCAACGGGUCCCCGAUCCAGGGUAUCCACCAAACUAUGUUCGAGCGGCGGCACGACGGGUCAGGCGGGUGCUUCGUGGAUGCCGGCACAGAGAUCACCCAUCUGGUGCCGGCGGCGUACACGCUCGUGCGGCCCGUGUGGUGCAGCAGUGGGGGUACAAGCGUGUUGACGCUUGACUUUGAGGGCCCGCCUACUCGGCACGGGGAGCCCACGCGCGCGCACCUGGAGAUCGGCUCCCGGCACCUCUUCUUAAAGGUUGAAAACGAGCAGGUGUUGUGCUUUGGUGUGUACCCCACGACCUCGCGCCACCCGACGGUCAUCGGCGCCAUGCAGCAGGUGGAUACGCGAUUCAUUUUCGACCUUAGGGCCAACACCAUCACCAUCCACCCAGAGAGCUGUGAAGCCGACACCCAGCCCACGCCGUCCGAGUGGUGA
rnacentral:rRNA from 1 species